UGCCUAAAGCAAAAAUUUUAGGUUAUUUCUGCCCAGUGAUUUUUUUUUUAACGGCCGCAGUACUCUGACUGUGCUAAGGUAGCAUAAUCAAUUGGCUCUUAAUUGGAGUCUAGAAUAAAAGAAGAAAAGGGGAAAAUCUGUCUCUUUAAUUUUAAUUAGAAUUUGUUUAAAAGGUGCAAAUCCCUUUUUCAGAAAAAGGACGAGAAGACCCUAAGAAUUUUUAAUAAUAAUUUAGAUUCUUUUUUUAUUUUUGUUGGGGCGACAGGUUUACAGGAAACUACACUAUUAAUUAAGCCGAUUUUUAUGAAUAAAAAAAUUACCUUAGGGAUAACAGCAUAAUUUUCUUUUAAGAUUGUGACCUCGAUGUUGGACUAGGGACUUAAUAAUUAGAAAUUAUAAUAGUUGGUUCUGUUCGAACUUUUUUACCCU
rnacentral:rRNA from 1 species